rnacentral:rRNA from 1 species
AGAGUUUGAUCCUGGCUCAGAAUGAACGCUGGCGGCGUGCCUAACACAUGCAAGUCGCACGAGAAAGGGGGCUUCGGCUCCCGAGUAAAGUGGCGCACGGGUGAGUAACGCGUAGGCAACCUACCCCCGGGUCCGGGAUAACAGUGCGAAAGCGCUGCUAAUACCGGAUACGACCUUGGAGCGGGAGCUCCAAGUUGAAAGUCAGCCUCUCGAAGAAGCUGAUGUUCGGGGAUGGGCCUGCGUCCUAUCAGCUAGUUGGUAGGGUAACGGCCUACCAAGGCGACGACGGGUAGCUGGUCUGAGAGGACGAUCAGCCGGAUUGGGACUGAGAUACGGCCCAGACUCCUACGGGGGGCAGCAAUUAGGAAUCUUGCACAAUGGGGGAAACCCUGAUGCAGCGACGCCGCGUGAAGGAUGAAGCUUUUCGGAGUGUAAACUUCUUUUGAUGGGGAAGAAAAAAAUGACGGUACCCAUCGAAUCAGCCCCGGCUAACUACGUGCCAGCAGCCGCGGUAAUACGUAGGGGGCGAGCGUUGUCCGAAUUUACUGGGCGUAAAGCGCGCGUAGGCGGUUUCUUAAGUCUGGGGUGAAAGGUUCAACGCUCAACGUGAACAGUGCCUUGGAUACUGGGAGACUUGAGUCUGGGAGGGGGUAGUGGAAUUCCUGGUGUAGCGGUGAAAUGCGUAGAUAUCAGGAGGAACACCGGUGGCGAAGGCGGCUACCUGGCCUAAGACUGACGCUGAGGUGCGAAAGCGUGGGGAGCGAACGGGAUUAGAUACCCUGGUAGUCC